AGCGAACGCUGGCGGCAGGCCUAACACAUGCAAGUCGAACGGAUCCUUCGGGAUUAGUGGCGGACGGGUGAGUAACACGUGGGAACGUGCCCUUGGUUCGGAACGACUCAGGGAAACUUGAGCUAAUACCGGAUGUGGCCUUCGGGGGAAAGAUUUAUCGCCAUUGGAGCGGCCCGCGUCUGGUUAGCUAGUUGGUGAGGUAAAGGCUCACCAAGGCGACGAUCAGUAGCUGGUCUGAGAGGAUGAUCAGCCACAUUGGGACUGAGAUACGGCCCAAACUCCUACGGGAGGCAGCAGUGGGGAAUCUUGCGCAAUGGGCGAAAGCCUGACGCAGCCAUGCCGCGUGAAUGAUGAAGGUCUUAGGAUUGUAAAAUUCUUUCACCGGGGACGAUAAUGACGGUACCCGGAGAAGAAGCCCCGGCUAACUUCGUGCCAGCCGCCGCCGUAAAAC
rnacentral:rRNA from 1 species